rnacentral:rRNA from 1 species
AUUGAACGCUGGCGGCAUGCCUUACACAUGCAAGUCGAACGGCAGCACGGGGCAACCUGGUGGCGAGUGGCGAACGGGUGAGUAAUGCAUCGGAACGUACCUUUCAGUGGGGGAUAACGUAGCGAAAGUUACGCUAAUACCGCAUAUUCUGUGAGCAGGAAAGCAGGGGAUCGCAAGACCUUGCGCUGAUUGAGCGGCCGAUGUCAGAUUAGCUAGUUGGUGAGGUAAAGGCCCACCAAGGCGACGAUCUGUAGCGGGUCUGAGAGGAUGAUCCGCCACACUGGAACUGGGACACCGUCCAGACGCCUACGGGAGGCAGCGGUGGGGAAUUUUUGACAUUGGGGGCAACCCUGAUCCAGCCAUGCCGCGUGAGUGAAAAAGGCCUUCGGGUUGUAAAGCUCUUUCGGCCGGGAAGAAAUCGCACGGGCUAAUACCCUGUGUGGAUGACGGUACCGGAAUAAGAAGCACCGGCUAACUACGUGCCAGCCGCCGCCGUAA